UACAUGGGGUGCAAACGUUGCUCGGAAUUAUUGGGCGUAAAGCGCGCGUAGGCGGUUACUUAAGUCGGAUGUGAAAGCCCUCGGCUUAACUGAGGAAGUGCACCCGAAACUGAGUAGCUAGAGUACGAAAGAGGGUCGCGGAAUUCCCGGUGUAGAGGUGAAAUUCGUAGAUAUCGGGAGGAACACCGGUGGCGAAGGCGGCGACCUGGGUCGAGACUGACGCUGAGGCGCGAAAGCGCGGGGAGCAAACAGG
rnacentral:rRNA from 1 species